rnacentral:rRNA from 1 species
AGCGAACGCUGGCGGCAGGCCUAACACAUGCAAGUCGAACGGUCCUUCGGGACAGUGGCGGACGGGUGAGUAACGCGUGGGAACGUGCCCUUAGGUUCGGAACAACUCAGGGAAACUUGAGCUAAUACCGAAUGUGCCCUACGGGGGAAAGAUUUAUCGCCUUUGGAGCGGCCCGCGUCUGAUUAGCUAGUUGGUGAGGUAAGGGCUCACCAAGGCUACGAUCAGUAGCUGGUCUGAGAGGAUGAUCAGCCACACUGGGACUGAGACACGGCCCAGACUCCUACGGGAGGCAGCAGUGGGGAAUCUUGCGCAAUGGGCGAAAGCCUGACGCAGCCAUGCCGCGUGAAUGAUGAAGGUCUUAGGAUUGUAAAAUUCUUUCACCGGGGACGAUAAUGACGGUACCCGGAGAAGAAGCCCCGGCUAACUUCGUGCCAGCAGCCGCGGUAAUACGAAGGGGGCUAGCGUUGCUCGGAAUUACUGGGCGUAAAGGGCGCGUAGGCGGACAGUUU